UCAACACGCCCAUUUGCAACACAGCUUUGAAGAUCUGCUGGCAUCUUCCAGGCUACAGGGCUUAUUUCCUUAGACUAUAGCAGGAAAACAAAAUCCUAUCACACAUCACUGCUGAAGAUCUGGGGGAUUUUUUGGUGGAGAAGAGCAAACAGACAUUCAGAGAGCAGCUUCGGGACUUGGAGGAUUUUGAGGAAAAAGAAGCCAAACCACUUCUGAAAAAAGUUUUAAAAAAACCAUUUUCUGUGUUUUCGGCCAAAAUUGACUGGCAUUUGGAACUGUUCAUUAUUCAUUUCACCUUGACUAAAGACCUAGUUCCAGCUGAAGACAAGCAACCCCAAACCAUGAUAUUGCCUCCACCAUGCUUCACCAAGGGUAUGGUGCUCUUUUGGUGAUCUAAACUGAUUAUGCAACUUAUUAUGAACUUAUGCAGUUUAUGCAGGUUUAUUCUACAAUGGCAGAUGGCUGCGUCUCCCUCAGCCUGGUUCUCCCGGAGGUUAUAUCCUGCACUUAAACUUUUGAUAUAAAGCACCCUCAGGCGG